rnacentral:rRNA from 1 species
CCUACGGGAGGCUGCAGUGGGGAAUAUUGGACAAUGGGGGCAACCCUGAUCCAGCCAUGCUGCGUGUGUGAAGAAGGCCCUCGGGUUGUAAAGCACUUUCAGUGAGGAAGAACGCCUGGUGGUUAAUACCCAUCAGGAAAGACAUCACUCACAGAAGAAGCACCGGCUAACUCCGUGCCAGCAGCCGCGGUAAUACGGAGGGUGCGAGCGUUAAUCGGAAUUACUGGGCGUAAAGCGCGCGUAGGUGGCUUGAUAAGCCGGUUGUGAAAGCCCCGGGCUCAACCUGGGAACGGCAUCCGGAACUGUCAAGCUAGAGUGCAGGAGAGGAAGGUAGAAUUCCCGGUGUAGCGGUGAAAUGCGUAGAGAUCGGGAGGAAUACCAGUGGCGAAGGCGGCCUUCUGGACUGACACUGACACUGAGGUGCGAAAGCGUGGGUAGCAAACAGGAUUAGAUACCCUAGUAGUC